AUUGAACGCUGGCGGCAUGCCUUACACAUGCAAGUCGAACGGUAACGCGGGGCAACCUGGCGACGAGUGGCGAACGGGUGAGUAAUGCAUCGGAACGUGCCCAGUAGUGGGGGAUAGCCCGGCGAAAGCCGGAUUAAUACCGCAUACGACCUACGGGUGAAAGGGGGGGAUCGCAAGACCUCUCGCUAUUGGAGCGGCCGAUGUCAGAUUAGGUAGUUGGUGGGGUAAAGGCCCACCAAGCCUUCGAUCUGUAGCUGGUCUGAGAGGACGACCAGCCACACGGGGAAUGAGACACGGCCCAGACUCCUACGGGAGGCAGCAGUGGGGAAUAUUGGACAAUGGGCGCAAGCCUGAUCCAGCCAUGCCGCGUGCGGGAAGAAGGCCUUCGGGUUGUAAACCGCUUUUGUCAGGGAAGAAACGCUCUGGGCUAAUACCUCGGGGUAAUGACGGUACCUGAAGAAUAAACACCGGCUAACUACGUGCCAGCCGCCGCCGUAA
rnacentral:rRNA from 1 species